rnacentral:rRNA from 1 species
CCCAAGUGCCACUCUUAACGGGAUGGCUUUUCAUUAGUGUAAAGAGCUUUUGGAAUAAGAGCUGGGCAAGACCGGUGCCAGCCGCCGCGGUAACACCGGCAGCUCUAGUGGUAGCAAUUUUUAUUGGGCCUAAAGCGUCGUAGCCGGUUUGAUAAGUCU